UACUCACUUUGGGGGUUCAAUGGAGAAAAAAUGUCCAACUUAGAUUAGAGAGAGAAAAAAAAACAAGUCUUUUGCCAUUUUCACUCAAAAACUCAAAGAGUGGCAAUGGCGUUUCCUCUGCAAUUCAACAACCCCAUCUCAACUUUUUCAUGUUCCAACCUUUAUAAUGGUAAUAGAACUCAACCCUUUAAAUUCUUGUGUACUUCUUCUCCACAAUCUGAUUCUUCCAAUAGCAAAGAAGAAGCUAUUCAAGACUCAUCUUGGGAAAAUGAUAAAGGGUAUGUGGUUCUGGUGGAGAAGUACAGGAAUGGAACUUUGAAAAGGUAUGUUAUAGACAAUGACUCUGAAAUGAAAAUGUUUCUUGAGGAGCAUGUACCCACAACUAGUAGAUCCCAAGAUCUUGAUAUCUCUGGCAUGGAGUUAUCUUGGCUCCCUAAGGUUAUCAAGGAUUUUGUGUUACCAUCUGGUUUCCCAGAUACAGUUUCAGAUGAUUAUUUGGACUACAUGUUGCUUCAGUUCCCAACCAAUGUAACUGGAUGGAUCUGUCACACGCUGGUGACUUCAAGUCUCUUAAAGGCGGUUGGAGUGGGCUCUUUUUCCGGAACUUCCGCAGCUGCUUCAGCUGCUGCCAUCAGAUGGGUUUCAAAGGAUGGAAUUGGUGCCCUUGGACGCUUUUUCAUUGGUGGACGGUUUGGCAAUCUUUUUGAUGAUGAUCCCAAACAAUGGCGCAUGUAUGCAGAUUUCAUUGGUAGUGCAGGAAGUAUAUUUGAUCUCUGUACCCCUCUCUAUCCAUCUUAUUUCCUACCUUUAGCUUCUCUUGGAAAUCUUGCCAAGGCUGUAGCAAGGGGGCUAAAGGACCCUUCAUUCCGGGUUAUACAAAACCACUUUGCUAUCGCUGGAAAUUUGGGAGACGUAGCAGCAAAGGAGGAAGUCUGGGAAGUAGCAGCUGAGCUGCUAGGUCUUUCUCUCGGCAUACUAGCUUUGGAUACACCUGGUAUCUCAAAGUCUUAUCCUACAUUGGCAUUAACAUGGUUAAGUGUGCGGAUCCUACAUCUUUGGUUUCGCUAUCAGUCUCUUUCAGUUCUGCAAUUCAACACGAUAAAUCUCAAACGGGCUCGCAUAUUAGUGAACUCUCAUGUUUUACACUGUACAGUCCCAGGAAUCAAUGAAUGCAAUAGGAUGGAGAGCAUCUUAUUGUGGGAAAGAUUCUUAAGGCCACGAAUUAUUUUUGAGAUAUCUUUGGAGGAGAUGAUCAAUGCGGGCAAAUACAGAUCCAAGCAAAUCAAGAAACUCAUUCAUAUGUACAAGGAGGAAAACUAUUUUCUUGUAGUAAAUGAACAGAAGGCAGCGGAUUUUCAGGUCUUUGUAUCUUUCAAGGAAGGAGCCUCAAGCCUAUCCGUUUUUCGAAGUAUAUGGCAAACCUAUUGGCUAUAUCAAAACUGGGGCUGGUCAGAUAAUAUCUUUGACCGACUUGAACAGAGCUUGGUCGAAUUGAGAGAUAGAUUUCCUGAUCUAUUACAACAACUAAGUGAUGCUGGAUGGGAUACAAAUAAUUUAAGUUUAAAGGUCCCAAAAGAAAUGUCGAUCAACGAGCUGAGUUAAUUGAGUUUCAUCCACUACAACAGUAAACCUACUGUUAAAGUUAAGUAACACAAGCAAGAAAGAUUUGAAUGGUUCUACGGCUAAAAAGUUGAGGACUGAGGAGAGAUGAUGUACAACAUGUCCCAUUAGGGGCACUGGUUUAUGGAACAGUUGAUUGGAAAAGGAGUAUCUGGAGUCCUUAUGUAAUGUCUAUGGAUUGGUCCGUUACAACUCUUACAACAACCGGCUAUGGGGACUUACACGCGGUUGCUACAGAGGAAAUGAUGGUUUACAUGCUAUUUGACCUCGGCCUGACUGCAUAUAUCUUAUUGGAAACAUGACUAACUUGGUUGUACAUGGAAACAAUAAGACGCAGAAAUUUAGGGAUGCUAUUCAAGCUUUGCACAAAAGAAUAAUCUGCCUGUUCGACUUGAAGAACAGAUGCUAGAUCACUUGUCAAUGAUGCACAGAACAGAUACAGUAGGUCUGCAGCAGCAAGAAAUUCUUGAAACAUUACCUAGAGCUAUUCGAUCUGCCAUUUCACAUCAUUUAUUCUAUUCAUAGGUGGAUAAGGCCUAUUUAUUCCACGGGGUAUCACAUGACGUACUCUUUCAACUGGUUUCUGAGAUGAAGGCUGAGUAUUUCCCUCCAAAAGAGGAUAUCAUUUUGCAAAAUGAAGCAUCUACGGAUCUCUACAUCCUCGUAAAUGGAGCAGUGGAUCUUAUAUCACACAGGAAUGGUAUGGAUCAGGUAGUUGAAGGCAGGGGAUGUUUGUGGAGAAGUUGGUAUUGUUUGUUGUAAGCCUCAACUUUUAACUGUUAGAACCAAAAGAAUAUCUCAACUGCUACGCUUGGAUCGUACUUCAUUUUUCAAUAUGGUUAAAGAAAUUCAAUACAA